rnacentral:rRNA from 1 species
UCACUGUUUAUAUAUAUAUAUAUAUAUAUAUAUUUAAAUUGGGGUAGCCCUCAAAAUAUUGGAACAUAUAAAAAAAAGACAACUAUUUUCCGCAGAGUAGUAGUUGACAUUAUAGUUGCGCAGGCACUUUGUUGACUCUAGAGAACCUCGGGCCAAUCGCACAUCCCCGUGGCGGCGACUUGCGGAUGUCAUCCAUAUCAUCCAUAUGCAUGCGGAUGUCAUCCAUAUCAACUUUUGAUGCCAGUUUCUGUGCCUACCAUGGUGACCACCGGGAAUGGGGAAUCGGGGUUACAUUCCGUACAGGGACUCUGAGAAACGGCUACCACAUGCAAGGAAGACAGAAGGCGCGCAAAUGACCCACUCCCGACGCGGGGAGGUAGCGAUGA